rnacentral:rRNA from 1 species
UGGGGAAUAUUGCACAAUGGGCGCAAGCCUGAUGCAGCCAUGCCGCGUGUAUGAAGAAGGCCUUCGGGUUGUAAAGUACUUUCAGUCGGGAGGAAGGUGGUAAGGUUAAUAACCUUAUCAAUUGACGUUACCGACAGAAGAAGCACCGGCUAACUCCGUGCCAGCAGCCGCGGUAAUACGGAGGGUGCAAGCGUUAAUCGGAAUUACUGGGCGUAAAGCGCACGCAGGCGGUUGAUUGAGUCAGAUGUGAAAUCCCCGGGCUCAACCUGGGAUCUGCAUCUGAUACUGGCAAGCUUGAGUCUCGUAGAGGGGGGUAGAAUUCCAGGUGUAGCGGUGAAAUGCGUAGAGAUCUGGAGGAAUACCGGUGGCGAAGGCGGCCCCCUGGACGAAGACUGACGCUCAGGUGCGAAAGCGUGGGGAGCAAACAGG